CUGUUUACAAACUUGACGUACACACGCAGUCCUAUCCCUACGGUCCUGGAAUUGGGGGUUACUAUCUUGGAAUCUAGGGGCACUCCAGGCUCUGGGCUCAGACGGCUGGCUUCUGCCUACCCGAGCCUUAACCUUUCAAGGACCAGAAGGAUUCCAGAGCUCUUGCCCUAGGUCCUGGGGCAGCGAUGACUCACUGCAGCACCCCCUCCCACUUCGCCAAGCUGCCGUCUCCGCCCACCCCCAAACAAUCUCGACAGCGCAUUUCGGGAGCCACGGCUCCGGGCGCUUUGCUGGGGGCUAAAGGGGUUUAUCCCUUUCCUUGAAUCCCAGCAGGCUAGAACUACCCCCUCCCAGUCUUCAGGCUUGCCACGCUCUCCACCCGAUCCUUCCAUUGAAAGGCAGAGAAGGAAGGAUGUGCUUGGGAACUUUAAGACCCACGAACGACAGCGCACUGAUGGAGCAGCCCAGUGUCUGGGGCAAAGUCCUCGAGGUUCAUUCAUUCAGGAAGCCUCUGACCAGCCUUUACCAUGCGCUGAGUGAGAAGCUGAGGAUAAGGAAAGAGCAAGACCCCCAAGAAACCCUGAUGUCUGGCUGAAAGCCGAAGCAUGACGCAACUUUGCUAUAUUUCUCUCCAACAAGGAUUUGUAUAUUUUCGCUUUCUCCUCAAGUAACACCUGGACCUGCUCCUUUCCCUUCAAACGCUGAGGGCUCAGUCUCCAAGUUCCUUUAUGAAACAGGGUGUACCAUCAGAGACGCAGGAGACUUCAGAAAUGAAGAUGCAAAGACAACAGGGGAAACCAUAUAUGUUUAUGGACAGUCAUGCCAAAGUAUGAUUGGAAGACAAAAAGAUUUUUGGCCAAUUCACUGCUCACUAACAUCUCCAUCAAAGGGAAAAACACACAUUGUAAAAUAAGAAUUCUUCAAAGACAACUUGAAGACAUCUGGGAAUUCUGAAGCCUGAAAAUUCCAUGAGUUCAUAGCAGUGUUCACUAAUUCCACUGAUCUAAAGACAAAAAGGAGAGUCAACUGCGUGCCCAAACUCAUUUCUGAUGAUUUCUUCCAUCCUAACUUUUCUGCCUCUCUGGGGGUGGUUAUGCCUGUGAAAAACAUUGAAGCUGUCAGGAACAGAGUCGGCUUUCAAGAUUGGAAUGUCAAAGUAGAGUCUUCUUUUCCUCAGACCAGAAGGGGCUUGGUUGGGUAAGAGUUUCCAGAUCUAAAUGGAGACAGGACUGGGAUAUAGGAGCUUGUACGGAUAAACAACACAAACACCUUGGUUGAAGAAACCGAAGCACAAAGAAUAACUUGUCCAAGAUCACAGAGUUUAGGAAGUAAGGAAGCAGGGCUUUGAGCUUUGCAUCAAGUGAUGACCCAUAAAUGCAAAUGGAAUACAACAGGAGUGGGUCCCUAAAGUCCCACCCAGAGAAUGCCCUUCUGCCAAAAAAUUUCGGAUUGAAACAGCAAAAACACCUAAGCAACUGAUAGUCAGGUAUGGUAUUUUUCGAUGUCCAACUAUAGAACUGAAAAGAUCUUUUCUAUGGUUAGUCUACACGAAUUUCUGUUAAAGAAG
rnacentral:lncRNA from 1 species